rnacentral:rRNA from 1 species
GACGAACGCUGGCGGCGUGCUUAACACAUGCAAGUCGAACGGAAAGGCCCUGCUUUUGUGGGGUGCUCGAGUGGCGAACGGGUGAGUAACACGUGAGUAACCUGCCCUUGACUUUGGGAUAACUUCAGGAAACUGGGGCUAAUACCGGAUAGGAGCUCCUGCUGCAUGGUGGGGGUUGGAAAGUUUCGGCGGUUGGGGAUGGACUCGCGGCUUAUCAGCUUGUUGGUGGGGUAGUGGCUUACCAAGGCUUUGACGGGUAGCCGGCCUGAGAGGGUGACCGGCCACAUUGGGAAUGGGAGACGGCCCAGACUACUACGGGAGGCAGCAGGGGGGAAUAUUGCACAAUGGGCGGAAGCCUGAUGCAGCAACGCCGCGUGCGGGAUGACGGCCUUCGGGUUGUAAACCGCUUUCGCCUGUGACGAAGCGUGAGUGACGGUAAUGGGUAAAGAAGCACCGGCUAACUACG